GCCCUCUUCCAAAUUUCCCCAAAUUUCGCAAUUCAAAAUGCUUCUCUUCCUUAUUUACAGCAGUUUUUCCAUAAGCUUCAGGCUAUUUUUCAAUCAAUGGCUGUUUCCUCAGGCUGUGCAAGGCUUUUGCUGAACCAUUAGACCAUUGAUUACCCAAUUUUCAGGUUUGAGAUUAUCGGCGAUAGUGAAACCGGUGCCUUUACUGCCAAAGAGGGAGAAAGCGCUCGACCUCUUAAUCCAUUUACUCACAAAGAAGAAUUUGUGGCAUAAGAAGUUGAUAGAAGAAAAGACUUAGCUUGGAAGUCUCCGGAUUGAAGUUGUGAAGAUAAUGUUAAAUUUUUUGUGAUUCUUCUUUUGACACACAAAUCUACGAUCUGUAACUCUAUAACUCUAUGACAAUUUCAAUGUCAGUCUGUUAAUAAAUAUUUAU